rnacentral:rRNA from 1 species
UAGUUUAGUGGCGGACGGGUGAGUAACACGUGAGCAACCUGCCUUCGAGAGGGGAAUAACGGCUGGAAACGGUCGCUAAUACCGCAUAACGUACGGAUGGGACAUCCUGUCUGUACCAAAGAUUUAUCGCUCGAAGAUGGGCUCGCGUCCGAUUAGGUAGUUGGUGAGGUAACGGCCCACCAAGCCGACGAUCGGUAGCCGGACUGAGAGGUUGAACGGCCACAUUGGGACUGAGACACGGCCCAGACUCCUACGGAAGGCAGCAG